GGAUUUUAAAACGUGGGAUUACUUUGUGAGUUCCUCUACCCAGGGCUAGAGGGAAAAACUCAAGACAAAGUCAGAGAUGGUUGCUUUCCCCCGCUCCCCAGUGAACUGCUGGCCCUGAGCAAAAUUGGGAGAAGGAGGAAGGUCCAGCAAGACUUGCUCUUGUAGGUGAGAAGCUGUCCUACCUGAGCCAGUAGCUCCUUCUCUCAACAGUGAAUGAAAUAAGGGUUGUGGGUGUGUUGGCCAGCUAUCAGAAACAUUCUGAUAAUCCAGGCAGUUAUUUUCUUCUUGAAAGUAAUUAGGCUGUCUCGUGUAUUUUUCACGAAAGGAAGUUUUCUCCUGUUAUGUUACCUUUGGAGGCACUUCAUACAACUGUGUCUUAGGACCUGCAGAGCUGACACACAGGCCCUGGGCUGACAACAAUACCGCUGGCAUCUUUAUCUGAGAAGCCAGCAGGGAUCCUGUUCUCUCUGGCUUCUCUGAUCACAGCACUCUUCCCCUCCACAAAGGCAUCAAAGAGAACUGCUUCAUGUAGUGAUAAAGCAUCCAGUCAAGUGUAAAACAAGCAGACAAAGGAGUCAUGGGAUUGGAAGAGAUGCCGGAGUCAACUGAAUCGGGUGAUACCUCCAGAGACACGUCCACUGAAUGGGCGGGGCGGCCUCAGUCUCUUCUAGGGAAUGGAAUUGCAAAGCCUUUUUCUUGGGUAAGAUUAUACCCUAUCUGAACAAUUUCCAAAAUCAAAUUUUGUGUUUAAUCAGGGCAUCCGCAUCAACAAAAGCAAAAAGAUUUGAAGUGUAUAAAUCCAUACUCUAGAGAUAGAAAUUUAUUCUCACAAAUGAAAUGAAUUCAAGAAAAAUUAAAAACCAGCUGCUUUCUGCCUGUUACUUCAACGUGUGUGUGUGUGUGUGUGUGUGUGUGUGAAUCC